UGAUAUUUGCUUGCCUUUCUGACAUUUUGUUGUYGUUUGGGCAGCCGAAAUGAUGGCGAAAUCCUUGUGUAGGUGCGUGGUCGAAUGGCCUUGUUGCUAUCACUUGGAUUUUUGCCGCCUCUCACAGAUGCAGUGCCUAGUGCUAGCUCUGCGUGACUUUACUCCGCAGACUUCGGGAGGUCCCUUGUACGAAUCAUUGCGACGUGGGCGCCGUUUGUCGUGUUGCUUGUUUGGCACGCAAAUCGUAUUGUUCUGUCUGGAGUCRGGAUGACGAAGGGCAAGAAUGAAGUGUCCAGGGUGUGGUUGCGUACAUGGGGAAUGCCUCUCGGAUUGUAUGAGCAGCGAUUUCCGGCUUGCGUCCUGCGAAGGCCCGCCUGUUUGGGUUGGUGCCGGAGCUGACGCRCCGGCUCUCGUGUAAGACGUGC
rnacentral:misc_RNA from 1 species